CCGACGGUGAGAGGCGAAAGCUGGGGGAGCAAACCGGAUUAGAUACCCGGGUAGUCCCAGCCGUAAACGAUGUGCGUUAGGUGUAUCGGUGACCACGAGUCACCGAGGUGCCGAAGAGAAAUCGUGAAACGUACCGCCUGGGAAGUACGGUCGCAAGGCUGAAACUUAAAGGAAUUGGCGGGGGAGCACCACAACAGGUGGAGCCUGCGGUUUAAUCGGACUCAACGCCGGAAAACUCACCAGAUAAGACAACUGAAUGAUAGUCGGGCUGAAGACUCUACUUGACUAGCUGAGAGGAGGUGCAUGGCCGUCGUCAGUUCGUACUGUGAAGCAUCCUGUUAAGUCAGGCAACGAGCGAGACCCACGCCAACAGUUGCU
rnacentral:rRNA from 1 species